ACAUGUGUGAGGGGAAGGAGUGCAGAGAAGGUGGUCGUAUACACUCCUGAGAAUGAUGAAAGCAACAAGAUCUUCCCCCAGAAGAAAAAAAAUCAUGUGUGCCCACUGAUAAACACAUUCCCCACAAUGUGAAAGAUUCAUAAAUGUUCCAAAACCCACCCAAGGGUCCCUAUAGUGGAUUAACC
rnacentral:lncRNA from 1 species